rnacentral:rRNA from 1 species
GACGAACGCUGGCGGCGUGCUUAACACAUGCAAGUCGAACGGAAAGGCCUCUUUCGGGGGGUACUCGAGUGGCGAACGGGUGAGUAACACGUGAGUAACCUGCCCUUGACUUUGGGAUAACUUCAGGAAACUGGGGCUAAUACCGGAUAGGAGCUCCUGCUGCAUGGUGGGGGUUGGAAAGUUUCGGCGGUUGGGGAUGGACUCGCGGCUUAUCAGCUUGUUGGUGGGGUAGUGGCUUACCAAGGCUUUGACGGGUAGCCGGCCUGAGAGGGUGACCGGCCACAUUGGGACUGAGAUACGGCCCAGACUCCUACGGGAGGCAGCAGUGGGGAAUAUUGCACAAUGGGUGGAAGCCCGAUGCAGCAACGCCGGGUGCGGGAUGACGGCCUUCGGGUUGUAAACCGCUUUCGCUCAUGACGAAGCUUUGUGUGACGGUAGUGGGUAAAGAAGCACCGGCUAACUACGUG